UUGAAGUGUGGAGAGAAUCCUCUUAGUAACUCAACAUCUGGAAA
rnacentral:sRNA from 1 species